CAAAGAAUAGUUUAACUAGGAUCCUAGCUUUGGGAGUUAGGGGUGGGAGUUAAAAUCUCUCUUCUUUGA
rnacentral:tRNA from 1 species